rnacentral:rRNA from 1 species
GGCCUUCGGGUUGUAAACUGCUUUUGUACGGAACGAAAAGGCCCUGGUGAACAACCGGGGUUGCUGACGGUACCGUAAGAAUAAGCACCGGCUAACUACGUGCCAGCAGCCGCGGUAAUACGUAGGGUGCGAGCGUUAAUCGGAAUUACUGGGCGUAAAGCGUGCGCAGGCGGACAUGCAAGACAGAUGUGAAAUCCCCGGGCUCAACCUGGGAACUGCAUAUGUGACUGUAUGACUGGAGUACGGCAGAGGGGGAUGGAAUUCCGCGUGUAGCAGUGAAAUGCGUAGAUAUGCGGGGGAACACCGAUGGCGAAGGCAAUCCCCUGGGCCAGUACUGACGCUCAUGCACGAAAGCGUGGGGAGCAAACAGGAUUAGAUACCCUGGUAGUCC